AAAUGACUUUUGAAUCACCUUUGUCUAAUGAUGGACUAACUCUUGAAAUGGGAAACAUAGACUAUCAUUUAAUUGUCAACAAAGGCCUUCAUCAGCCAACUAACAAAGGACAAUGCCUAUAUGUGAACUUCUGCAGUUAAUCUAGGAUGGACUUCAAAAGACGUUAAUAAUUAAUCUUAUUAAUUUUUUGUUAAUGCUGCUUUGAAACGAUUUGUGUUGUGAAAAGCACUUUACAAAUAAAAAGGACGACUCUUUUGUGAACCAUUCACUUGGCCCCCACUCCCUCCUCCCUUAAGGAAGGCAGAGAUCUGCGACACUGGUUCCAAAACCCAGGAGUUGGAAGAAAAAUGCGCCAUCAGAGAGCCCUCGCCGCUGAUGGAGGAUCACGACGCCGAGUGAGUGAUUGAGUCGUUGGCGCUGGAGCGGUGUGUCAGCCUGCGGCCGAGAGAGACUGGUGAGGGGUCCAGUGCCAUCAUCCGGCAUCACUGAGAAUCAAUGUGCAGCUGGCUGAGGACUAACUGGCAGCAUUAUUUUUUUCUCUCUCUCUUUCUCUCCCCCCGUUACAAUUUUACGAGUUCAGAUUCACACCUAGGAACACAAUUGUAGAGGAUUACGUAGUGAGGACACGGGAGGCAGGUUGCUCCAAACAAAGGGCUCUCUCAGUCUCUGACUCUCUCCCCGUCUGAUAGCUGCUCAUCCGAUCACCCGUGCAACCAUUUGGGACAUGAAAAGCCUUUGCUUCGGCAGAUGUAGUCAUGUCAUCUCCCUGCAAAGGAUAUCGACAGACCUCCUGGAUGAAAAGCACUCUCCUGCGCCGUACUCCUGAGUCAUCCAGAGACAGCAAGAACUCCUUAAAAGUCUUCAUCACAGGAGGUGGAGGACCAAGAUCCAUAUCAUGGAUGUUGCCCAGCCUGGAGGAACACAAGAGAGGAAAAGGGAGAUAAGUAGUUAUUGCACAAGUGAAAUAAAGGAAAUGGUUAAGAUGAUAACUAAGAACAACAAUCUGAUUGUCUAGUAUCUAGAAAUGCAAUACAUAUGAAUGAUAAUCAAUGCAAAUGAAAAACUAAUCUAUAAGCUUUAUAAAAUACACAUUGUAUUUAUGGAAAUUUCCUUUGACUUUGGACUUAUACUACCAGAUUUUUCCCUGAUCUAGACUCAAGUGAAAAACUGCUCCAUCUCAAACAGGAAGAGCAGUAUGCUGCCCACUUCCUUU